rnacentral:rRNA from 1 species
CCUGCCUAACCUAUAGGAGGUCCAGCCUGCCCAGUGACUCUGUUUAACGGCCGCGGUAUCCUAACCGUGCGAAGGUAGCGUAAUCACUUGUUCUUUAAAUGAGGACUAGUAUGAAUGGCAUCACGAGGGUUAUACUGUCUCCUUUUCUAAAUCAGUGAAACUAAUCUUCCCGUGAAGAAGCGGGAAUAAAACUAUAAGACGAGAAGACCCUAUGGAGCUUUAAACUUCCCAGCAAUUAUUUUCUAUUAAYACAUCUCAAGACUAUAAAAUAAACCUUAAUAACAUGACUGCAAGUUUUCGGUUGGGGUGACCACGGAGUAAAACUUAACCUCCACAAUGAAUUAGAACCAUAAUUCUAAGCAAAGAAAUACAAUUCUAUGCAUCAAAAAACUGACAUUAUUGACCCAAUAUUUUGAUCAAUGAAC